ensembl:snRNA U6 U6 spliceosomal RNA
GUGCUUGCUUUGGCAGCACAUAUACUAAAAUUGGAACAAUACAGAGCAGAUUAACAUGGCCCCUGCGCAAGGAUGACACACAAAUUCGUGAAGUGUUCCAUAUUUUU